UUCCUGUACUUGGUGUUACUGCGAAGGGGGGACGGAGAAGGCUAUGUUGGCCGGGCGACGGUUGUCCCGGUUUAAGCGUGUAGGCUGGUUUUCCAGGCAAAUCCGGAAAAUCAAGGCUGAGGCGUGACGACGAGGCACUACGGUGCUGAAGCAACAAAUGCCCUGCUUCCAGGAAAAGCCUCUAAGCAUCAGGUAACAUCAAAUCGUACCCCAAACCGACACAGGUGGUCAGGUAGAGAAUACCAAGGCGCUUGA
rnacentral:rRNA from 1 species